rnacentral:rRNA from 1 species
ACCCCAUGGAGCUUCAAACCCAACUACACCCUUAACUACCACAACCACACAACCUCUUAGGGCCCUGUAUAGUUGGUUUUAGGUUGGGGCGACCACGGAGUACAACCAAACCUCCGCAAUGAACGGGACCACUCCCUUAUCUAAGAGCCACCCCUCUAAGAAUUAAAACACUAACAUAAAAUGAUCCAUGAUCUGAUCAAUGAACCAAGUUACCCUGGGGAUAACAGCGCAAUCCAUUUCAAGAGCCCCUAUCGACAAGUGGGUUUACGACCUCNAUGUUGGAUCAGGGUAUCCUAGUGGUGCAGCAGCUACUAAUGGUUCGUUUGUUCAACGAUUAAAACCCU